rnacentral:rRNA from 1 species
UACGGGGGGAGCAAGCGUUGUUCGGAUUUACUGGGCGUAAAGGGCGCGUAGGCGGCCACCGCAAGUCGACUGUGAAAUCUCCGGGCUUAACCCGGAAGGGUCAGCCGAUACUGCGGGGCUAGAGUGCAGAAGGGGCAACUGGAAUUCUCGGUGUAGCGGUGAAAUGCGUAGAUAUCGAGAGGAACACCUGCGGCGAAGGCGGGUUGCUGGGCUGACACUGACGCUGAUGCGCGAAAGCUAGGGGAGCGAACGGG